AACGCACAUUGCGCCCCUUGGUAUUCCGGGGGGCAUGCCUGUUCGAGCGUCAUUACAACCCUCAAGCUCUGCUUGGUCUUGGGCGUCACCGGUCCCCGGUGUGCCUUAAAAUCAGUGGCGGCGCCACCUGGCUCUAAGCGUAGUACACACUCUCGCUACGGACGCCCGGCGGAUGCUGGCCAGCAACCCCCAUUUCUCAAGGUUGACCUCGGAUCAGGUAGGGAUACCCGCUGAACUUAA
rnacentral:misc_RNA from 1 species